ACACACACACACACACAGACACACUCACUCAGAGACACUCACCCACACAGACACACUCACUCACACACAGACCAAAGAGAGAAGAAGAAAAAGACAGGCAAAGACCAAAGAGAGAGGAAAAAGACAGGCAAAGACCAAAGGGAGCAGAAGAAAAAGAUAGGCAAAGACAAAAGAGAGAAGAAGAAAAAGACCGGCAAAGACCAAAGAGAGAAGAAGAAAAAUAUAGGCAAAGACCAAAGAGAGAAGACGAGAAAGAUGCAUAAACAGAGACAAGGAAAAUGAAGAAAUGGUCAGAAAAAAAGGGAGAGCAGGAGAAAGUCAGUGAAAGAAAAAAGGUAAACAUUUUAAAAGGUAAGUUAUUUUUACUAAAAUUAUGUCUCCAUAAUUGAUCACUUAUUGUCUUGUGUGUGUCUUCUCACUUUAGUAACACAAGACAGAAGUCCAAAAACAACAUGUAGCAGCAAGCAGAUCCAUAUAGAAGAUACUAUCAGAACAACCAAGAUACAACUCCAGAUGUCUAUACAUCAUUGCUGUGUGAAGACUGCUGAAGAGAAGUAACAAGUAGGGCUUUUAAAAAAAAAAAAAAAAAAAAAUAA